rnacentral:rRNA from 1 species
GUCUAUGGUCAUGCCACCCUGAACAAUCCCAAUCUCUGAUCUUGGAAGCUAAACAGGGUUGGGCCUGGUUAGUACUUGGAUGAGAGACCACCUAGGAAGACCAGGUACUGCAGGAA